rnacentral:tRNA from 1 species
UAACGAUAUACGGAAAAGAAUCUGCCUUUUAAGCAGUGGGUCCGGGGUUCGAAUCCCCGGCGGGUCACCA